AUUAGGGAUUCAAUCAAAAAGUAGAAAGCCAGGGCACAAUGUUACUUUGCAAUUUCUCUACAUUCAAAGACUAAAGAGGAUUGAAAGGAACCCAAAAUCUUCUUUACUGCUGGGAUAGACAUUGAUGUCUUCUGUAUGGGUUUAGCAUUAUUCACAAUCGCCAAGAUACAGAAUCAACCUGAGUGCAUCAGUGAAUGAAUGGAUAAAGAAAAUGUGAUAUACAUACACAAUGGAAUACUAUUCAGCCUUAAAAAAGAAGGCAAUCCUGUUAUUUGCAACAACGUGGAGGAACCUGGAAAACAUCACAUUAAGCACAGAAAGACCAACUACUGUAUGAUCUCACUUACCUGUGGAGUCUCAAAAGGUUUAUCUCAUAGAAGUAGAGAAUAGAAUGGUGGUUACCAGGAACUAUGGGUUAGGGAGCUUGAAGAGAUAUUUGUCCAAAGAGACAAAAUUUCAGUUAGAUAGGAGGAAGAGUUUCAAGAUACCUGUUGUAUAGCGUGGUCACUAUACCUAAUAACAGCAUGUUAUAUUCUUGAGAAUGACUAAGAGAAGAUUUCAUAUUCUCACCACAAAAAAUAAGUAUGUGAAGUAAUG
ensembl:lncRNA LINC01318 long intergenic non-protein coding RNA 1318